rnacentral:rRNA from 1 species
CGAACGCUGGCGGCGUGCUUACCACAUGCAAGUCGCACGGCAAGGCCCUGCUUUUGUGGGGUGCUCGAGUGGCGAACGGGUGAGUAACACGUGAGUAACCUGCCCUUGACUUUGGGAUAACUUCAGGAAACUGGGGCUAAUACCGGAUAGGAGCUCCUGCUGCAUGGUGGGGGUUGGAAAGUUUCGGCGGUUGGGGAUGGACUCGCGGCUUAUCAGCUUGUUGGUGGGGUAGUGGCUUACCAAGGCUUUGACGGGUAGCCGGCCUGAGAGGGUGACCGGCCACAUUGGGACUGAGAUACGGCCCAGACUCCUACGGGAGGCAGCAGUGGGGAAUAUUGCACAAUGGGCGGAAGCCUGAUGCAGCAACGCCGCGUGCGGGAUGACGGCCUUCGGGUUGUAAACCGCUUUCGCCUGUGACGAAGCGUGAGUGACGGUAAUGGGUAAAGAAGCACCGGCUAACUACGUG